rnacentral:ncRNA from 1 species
UGACCUCAGAUCAGGCAAGGCUACCCGCUGAAUUUAAGCAUAUUAAUAAGCGGAGGAAAAGAAACUAACAAGGAUUCCCCUAGUAAUGGCGAAUGAAGCGGGAACAGCUCAAAUUUAAAAUCUCCGUUGCUUGCAACGGCGAAUUGUAGUUUCGAGAAGCACUUUCUCGGCGGAUCCGAGGUCGUCCAAGUUGCUUGAACAGCACGUCGUAGAGGGGAAAACCCCGUCUGCGGCGAC